rnacentral:rRNA from 1 species
GACGAACGCUGGCGGCGUGCUUAACACAUGCAAGUCGAGCGGUAAGGCUCCUUCGGGAGUACACGAGCGGCGAACGGGUGAGUAACACGUGAGUAAUCUGCCCUUCACUUCGGGAUAACCACCGGAAACGGUGGCUAAUACCGAAUACGACCAGUCUUCGCAUGAGGUGCUGGUGGAAAGUCUUUUCGGUGAAGGAUGUGCUCGCGGCCUAUCAGCUUGUUGGUGGGGUAAUGGCCUACCAAGGCUUUGACGGGUAGCCGGCCUGAGAGGGUGACCGGCCACACUGGGACUGAGACACGGCCCAGACUCCUACGGGAGGCAGCAGUGGGGAAUAUUGGACAAUGGGCGAAAGCCUGAUCCAGCAACGCCGCGUGAGGGAUGACGGCCUUCGGGUUGUAAACCUCUUUCAGUACCGACGAAGCGCCCUGUCGGGUGGUGACGGUAGGUACAGAAGAAGGACCGGCCAACUACGUG